UCAACGUGGAUACCCCUGGAGGUCACUCUCCCCGGGCUCCGUCCAGGUGGCAUAGGGGAGCAUAGGGCUCUGCCCUGUGAUGUACAGUCCCUUUCCACGACGUUGGAGAAGAAGCUGGGCCUUGUGUCUGCGCCUGGAUAUUCCUACAACUUCUCAGAGUCCUUUGGGCAGUGACUGAGGAGAUAAACCAUGCAGGAAACAAUG
ensembl:snoRNA SNORA73 Small nucleolar RNA SNORA73 family